rnacentral:lncRNA from 1 species
UCAAUAUCUUCAAUUUCGGUUAGCAAACGAAAACACAUGUAUAACUUCUACGAUCGUUGACACAAUUAAUUCUCUAGAAUAUAAAAAUUUCUAUGAUUUGCAGUCCAGCACAACACGCCUUUGAAUUGAAACUUCAAAUUCGAGUAGUUUAAAACCUCCCGUCUUCCUCUUCUGAUGAUUGAUUCAAUUUUCAACAAUAUUGCUUCGGAUAAGAGUUGAUGGCGUCGAUUUACUGCUGCGAAGAGUGCGGAGCCAAUUUAAAUCUUCAUUCCAGCCACCUCUACCCGCCGGAUUUCUACUUCGAGGCCGGCAACAAAGGUACCCUCUCGUUUUCUCUAGUCGAUUCCUCCAAAUUUAAGUUCGAUAAAGAAGACAAAAUCCGGCCUUUUUUCGAGACUUUUAAUUACUGGGGCGUCCAAAGGAAACGCACCAAGAUCAAGUGCAAUAGCUGUGGAAAGCUCGUCGGGUAUAUUUACGAUGAUGGUGCGCCCAUGACGGAUAGUCCGGGUCAGUUCCAUAUGGGUCCGAGUCAGGUUGUGCCUAGAAACCCUAGGUACAGGUUCAAGAGCAAGGCUUUAAGGAUUUCUUCUGAGACUUGAUUUGCGGCUGUGUUUGUGUUUUUUUUGCUGGGUUUUGUAGAUAAUGAUGGGGAUUGAUGAGUACGUUUUACGAGAUCUGUUUUGUAUACAUAACCGAAUUUUUGUGUGCCUACAUAUGUAAAUUUAUCGUUAAUUGUUAUACCUGUAAUUCAAAAAAUGAGGAAACGAUGUUUGAACUUAUUGUAUUAGGCAAACACGCUGUUAAUUUCUUUCACAUUUUAUUUCUCCUUUCUUUUCUAUUAUAACCGCAGGGAGGGAGAGAGUGGUGAGCAUGUGAAGUUUUAUUUUUUAAUCAUUAUUGUCUCCACCUGAUUCUCUUUCUUCCCUCCUUCCUCUUCCAUUUCUAGUUUCCAUUUGUAAUUUCACUCAGAAUUUGACUAUAUAUAGUUGGGCAACUGAUUUCAUUUACAAUUUGUGUUAAUCCUUAUGGUAGUGAUUGAAAUUGGGUGGGAAUUAGAAUCCAUUCAUAACACUGAAAUGUUUUCUGAAGGUUCAACAAAUCCAUUGCAUAAUUGUUCCCAAUUUUCAACAAAAUUCAUCGAGAAUCACAUAGUAUUGUCAUGAAAUUCUUAGGAUUACAUUUAUUCAGCGAAUAAUCAUAAAAUCAAACUGCGGCAGCGCAUUAUUUCAAUUGAAGGCUUAAGGCCCUCAAUUCUACAGGGAAUUACCUUUCACUCAUAUGUUUGACCGCAUAUGUUUCAUCCUUGCUCUAGCUUGUGCCAAACUUUCACUUAAAACUUGGUCCAUCUUAUGCCUCUUAUAGCGAUUCUUCCAUUGUUGCUACAAUUAUCUGCUAUUAUGGUCCCAACGCCAAUUGUGGGGGGUUUGAUGCCAUAAGGUGCCUCAAAUGGUGUCAUCUUGAUUGAGGUGUGUACAAUGGUGUUGUACUGCCACACAGCCAAGCUGACCAACUUAAUCCAAUGGUUAGGUUGCUUGUAAGCCAUAUACCUAAGGUACAUUUUGAGACAUUGAUUUACCCUGUCUGUUUGCCCAUCUGUCUAGGGAUGAUAAGCCGAGCUCACCAGUACAACUCUUGCCAAAAGUCAUUUGUGAACAUUUUAUCUCUAUCUGUGAUUAUACUGUGUGCAUCCCGUGUAAUUUGUGGACGUUAUCCAACAAUAACCUUGCUACAUUUGCUGCUGAGAAAGGAUGUGAUAACGUUAGAAAGUGCCCAUAUUUAGUGAAUCUAUCCACCAGAACUAGUAUUACAUUUUUUGCCCAAGAAUUAGGUAAUCCCUUGAUGAAAUCGAUAGAGAUAUGACUCCAAGCAUAUCGUGGCUAUGGGGUGGUGGCUGUAGUAAUUCUAGGUAUGCCACAUGUUUCCCUUUACACCUUUGGGCCUUGGCAUGUGUUACAUUUCAAAACCUCCUAUAUAAUUUCUCUAGUCAUCCCAAGCCAAAACAAAAUUGUUACUUAGCCUUGUGGAUACUAGCCUGUACUCUUGAAUGUCCACCUUCUUGUGAAGAAUUAAUGGCUCCAAUUAUUUUCUUCAUCACUCGUCCUCUAAAGCCAAUGUGAACUCUAGAUUUAUACCUAAGUAGCCCAUUCAAAAAGUGUUAUUCUGGUUCUGCAUUGUCAUUGAGUAACAAGGCAGUGAUUUUGCUUCAGCUUCUCCAUCUCCUUGGUAAUUGGCUAUCACCUCUUAAAUCUAUACUUGGGUUACUAUAGUUACUGCUAAGUAUUCAGCCUCCUUGUCUUCCCUUCUGGAUAAGGCAUUUGCCACUUUAUUGUCCACCUCCUUUUAUAAUGUGUCUUAUAGCUAAGCCCUAAGAGUUUAGACAACCACUUUUGCUGUAAUGGAGUGGUGAUUCUUUGCUCAACUAAGUUCUUAAGUGAUCAGUGGAUUGUUUUGAUAAUGAAAUGGUGUUGUCUCCACUUGCCCACGAAUUUUACUGAGGCUCAUAGUUCUUUUUCAUAAAUUGACAAGCCCAAAUUUCUACUGUUAAUGCCUUUGCUCGAGUAGGCUAUAGGCUUUUGUUCUACAUCAAUACAGAUCCAAUUCCCCCAUAACAUGCAUUUGUUGCCAUGAUAAAUGGUACAGGAAAUCUACUAAAGCCAAUACAGGUGUAGUGCUCAUACCAUUCUUCAAUUCUUGAAAUUCUAACUCAGCAGCCUCACUUCAAAUGAAAUUUUCCUUCUUCAGUAAGUCAGUUAAAGGUUUGGCCAUGGUUCAUUAUCCUCUUACUAACCUCCCAUAGUAACCAGUCAAGCCCAAAAUUCCCCUCUACUGUUUGACAUUGACUGGCUUAGGCCAUUCUUGCAUUGCAAUUACCUCGGAAGGGUCAGCUGUCACUUCUUUUGUAGAGAUAAUAUCACCAAGAUACUCUAUUUUAGGUUGCCCAGAAGUGCACUUGGUCUCUUCAGCAUACUGUUGUUGCUUCUUUAGAAGGUUAAGGACCACGGUAACAUGCUCACAAUGAGUCCAUGUCCACCAGUCAGUGCUAUAGAUUAGGAUAUCAUAAAAAACCACCAAAACAAAUUUCCUGAGCUGUUUCGUAAGUACCUCAUUCAUUGGACAUUGGAAUGUGGUUGGGGCGUUAGUAAGUUCAAAGGGUAUUACUUUGAAUUCAUAAAGGCCUUCAUGGGUCUUAAAGGCUGUUUUAUGAACAUCCUCAUCUGCUACCCUGAUUUGGUGAUAUCCAGUCUUCAAGUCAAUUUUGUGAACCACUUUCUCCUGUUCAAUUCAUCCAAUAAUUCAUCGAUUAGUGGCAUAGGAUAAUUGUCAUUAGUAGUAAGGCUAUUCAAUUGUCUUUAAUUUGCACAAAACCUCUAUGUUCCAUUUUUUUCUUAACCAAAAGUACAGGAGAAACAUUAAUCCGCUGAAUUAUUCCCCAUUCCCUCAUUUCUUUGACCAUCUCUCAAUUUCUACUUUUUAUAUUUGUGGACAUCUGUAUGGCAUGAUCUAAAAUGGCAGUGCUCCCUCCUUAAGUGGUAAAUGGUGAUCAUUGAAUCUAGGGGUGGCAACCCUGUUGGUUCUAAGAAAACCAUGGGAAAUUGAUUCACCACAGCCUUGAAUUCAGCUGGUAUGGGUUCUUGAUCUUUCUCGGUGAUGGCAGUGCCAUCACUCUAUAUAUUUGAUUCCUGAACUAGCACUCUUUUCAGUAUCAAUCAUCAUCUUAAAUUCUUCAUUGAUGGCCUCACUUUUUAGUUCCAUCUUUAAGCACUCAUGAGUGAAUAUGAUGCUUCCUUUAAUGAAAUCUAACAACACAUAAUUGAAUUGGUGGAAUUUGAGAUCCUGCAUUCUCCAUAUUAGUGGAUUACAGAUAUCCCUACUGGCUAGUUUUUCUCCCCUUGUCAUGGUUACUGAUGUGGGUUUAGUCUGCUGCAUCCUGCAGUUGAUGUUUUGGGCUAGUUGUUCAUCAAUCAAGCUAUAGGUACUCUCACUAUCAAUCAAUAUGAUACCCCUUUCUUUUUGAUAAUUCCUGAAAGCCUGAUAAUUUCAUAUCUAUUCCUUUGCUUUUCUUCAUAACACAUUGUUUUGCGUGGAAAAGGAAAAAAAGGCAAAACAAAGAGCUAGAGCUUUACCGGGGAGGUUUGUUGAUAUUGUUGUAAAGCAAAUACAUAAUUGAUAAAUAGAAAUCUCGGAAGAAUGAUAGGACUGAUUGAACUUGUUCCAAACCCUACGUGUCUGGUCAGGUAUAGGUAUAAUUUGUUGGAUCAACCAUCUUCUAGAUGAGAAUUUCAUUUCAUUUCAUUAUCGCUGCAACUUGAUUUUGAUGUGUUGUUUAUGCCAAAUGGUCGUCUUAUCAUUGACAUGUAUAGAAUUUGGUUUCAAUUCAAUAUUGCUGCAAGUUGGUAUUGAUGUCUUUCUAUGCCAAAUGGUUGUCUAAUCAUUCGUACCUGGAUGGUAGCACACCUUAAACUUCCAUUUCUGUUUAUGUCGUCUUCCAUGGUUUUACAUUUAUUUGGACGUGAUGGAAUAGAGCACCAGAAGCGCACAGAUUCUUGGUCGUAUAGUCAAAUAAUGUUUACAUCAAUAUGUUGCAAUUGAAUAUGAAGGCAGGCAGGAUGUCAUCAAGUAUAUAUCGAGCAUAAUAUUCAAAUAUUAAAAAAUGAUGCAAGUAUUUUCUUAACAAUCAUUGUUUGUCUUUUUGCACAAGACCUGCGACUGGACUCUCAAGUCCCAGACUAUACAUAUGUGAAAAUUUGUUUAAUAUGGUAGUUAAUUGAUCAGGUCACAUGUCUUUUUUUUAUUCUUUACGGUUCUUAACUACAAUUGUUGUUGUUGUUGUUGUUGUUGUUGUUGUUGGAUCAUCUCUCUGCUGCUAUAAAAAGGCUGCAGCUCAUUAAAGGCCACAAAGUCUCUCGGUAAGUUUUACCUCUAUGGUGUCAUUCUAGGAUAGAGUUUAUAAAGCGGAAAGUAUCAACUGCAUACUCAAUCAAGUAACACUUGAAAUGCUUAGUUCUUCAUUUUGACUGAAUUUCCCUCCAUGUAUUGAGUAUUCACCUUGUCUUAACAGACAAUAUGAAGAAAAUUUGCUUCUUGAUCUAAGGUAUGAUAAUUGCAUAGAGGACGUCUGGCAAAACUAGAGAGUCAUUUAGUAGAUCUAUCAAGAAGUAUGUCUCUACGUACUUCUCAAUAAUGCCACUUUUUAAUGGCAUUUUUAAGCUUAACCAAACACGCUACAAGUUCCCUUAGUCUAAAUUGCUAUAAAUAUAUUGUCCCUGGAUCAAAAUCAUAAAGUUUAAACUUUCUAGUGAGUUGGGAUUUUAGUUUGGGUAGUCAUCAAGUUCGUCCCAAUUACUGGUGAUCACUAGGGUCUAUUUCUUUUGCAGAUAUAAUUGUCAAAAAUCUCAAGUUCUCAUAUUUCAGUUUUUAGGUAUAUGAACUAGGACGAAAUACAGUUUCUUUUCCCACAGCUCAUUAAAUUCUGCAAUAAAACAACGAAGUUGAGUUCAGAACCUUGUAUCUGAGGGUGGAUUAGUCAAUUCGAGUACCACUGACUCACACAUGGUAGUUGCUAUAGUAGGAGGCCUACAAUAACAUUAUGCAUAGUUUUAAAUUCCAUAUUGGGGUAUAUAUGCAUGCUGUAAUACAAGAAAAUCAUCUAUUUUGUUACUAUCAUUUCUUUAAUUUCAUUUUUUUUUUUCCAAUCUACACAUGAAAAUUUUAUAUUCUAGAUCAAAUUAUAUAUAAAAUUCAAUAAUCAAGUACAAAAUAUCCAAUGUCGACAUGGAAAAUAUAUUUAAUGCCAAAUAAUUAAAAACUUCAAUUUUAUCUCAAUUUUAUUGUUUGAUACUUGGAAACCUUUACAUAACUUUCUAAGCAAUGAUCCACUGCUCUUACUAGUUACCCAUCGAUUCAAACAGUGACCUGUGACCUUGACCUGUUCAAUGUCUGAUUUGGGUCUGAAAACUAAGUGAAACACAGGAAGAAAGUCUUGGAUUUCGAUGUUUCAUUAAAAAUAUGGGAUUUGCAGGUGAUCAUUUAGUUCCUUUGAACUUCCCAAUGAACUGAGCCCAUAGAGGAUCAUGUGUUCUACAUCCUUUGCUUUGUCUAGAUAACAAAUCAAAGCCCUAUUAGUUGUAGCCAAAAAUAACCACAUACACACACAUUCAUGUGUAAAUGCAUGAUUUUUUUCAAGAAAUGCUUAGUAGGUGUCGAUAUGGUUGUUAUUGUGGCAUGACCAGAAUGGGGCUACACGUUUGCCACUAUGCUCUGUAGAAGGGGUUGCUAGGACUGCCAUUGAAAGAAAAGGAAAUAAAAUAACAAAAACACUAAGGGGUCACCUUAACUAUUAUAGUUUGUUAAAACCAGAUGAUAUGUUGCAUAUUUUCUUGGAUAAGCUGGGCAUGAAACUGCAUCCUGUUAAAUAUUGCAAUGUUUUGGUUGUUUGAUAUAGAGCUUGUCCUUGUUUGUCUUUCAUCAUUGUGAUGCAAAUUGGAAAGUAUAUUCUAGGCAUAAACAGAAUCAAAUCAAUUAAGGAUUGAAUUUUCAUUAUUGCAUUUUAUUGUUUUUCGUAGAAUAGUAAAUUUGUCUCCUUGUAAAAGGAAAUUCAAGUUCUCCUUUUCAUUUUUAAUUAGGACCUAUAAAUUGAGGUUUUUUGGUUGUAAGAAGACAGACCUGAAUAUUGAAUAAACCUACAAUCUUUCCCUCAUUUCUCUCGUCCUACUUCUUUCUCCUUCUUUAUUGCUCUCGUUCAUUGCCAUCGGCAUCACAUUGUUUCUAACUUAUGCAGAUGUGAGUUCAGAAUACAAGUGGAGAGUAUGAACUUUCUUGCUGUGCAAAUGAAAAGCUCAAUUUUUAUCAACAUCCCCUGGGAUUAUAUCAUAAAAAAAUGUAGAUUGUAAGGCAUAUUUCUUGUCCUUGAUGAUAUACUUGUUACCCUUUUGUCGUGUUAUCAGGACUCUCGUCUAAGUUUUCGUUGAGGUAUACUCAGCAGAAUAUUAAGAGUUAAACCCUGGAUUUAAUGUCUAGGACCUAACUUGUAUACAUACCAAACCAAACUGAUAUAACCUAAAUUGUAAUUCUAUUAUGUUGGUGAUUAACUCAGUGUAAGUGUCUGGUAUGCAGGAACAUGACUACCGACAAUUUGAAUACUCCUUGAAGAAGAAUGGUAAGCGUGAGAAGAACAACAAAGUGGAAAGGGUGACAAUAAAUAGAUGCGGGUGGGAGUCAAGGACUGGUGAGUUGAAAUAUUUAAAUGCGACGACUGAGAUCUAGUAAAUUAUUUUUCGUGUUCAACUAAGAUACACACCUAGGGCAUGAUGUGCAAUUGGCAAUUUAAUUUGAUAGCAUUGAGGAUAGAGGCAUGUUGUUUUCUAGUCGAGUAUAACUAACAUUUUUUCGACUGAUUGCAGGUGGAUCAAGACCGAAUAUUCGUACCUAGACCAGCCAACCAUAAACACGGCAGAUAAUCCUAGGGUAUGAUAUUCCUAUACUCCAAAUCUUAUGUGACGAGUCCAAUCCCCAACAAGAUCCAACAGAUGUAUUUGUUUGAUAUUUAAUUUUGAUACGAAUUGGACAUGAUUCGAUACGCUUUCAACAUGUUUCUGGCAUAUAAAUGUCUUUCUAAUAUACCAUGUGAUGUGCCUUGUAUGUUUAAUUUUUGACACAGAAAUUGUGUCUAUACAUCGUUUACAUUUUUCUUCCUCAUUUCUAAUGGAAUUAAGCUUUGUUGUUAGAUGAAUUUGGCAUUUUUAUUGAUAGAAGAUGUGUAAAAAAAUGAUUGGAUGACAUUGUUGACUAUUUUUUAAAUGGUCGAAUAAAAUUC